GUUUUAAUAGUUUAAAAAACACUGGUCUUGUAAACCAGAGAUAAGGCUGCCCCCUCCUUUUAAAACA
rnacentral:tRNA from 1 species